AAGAGUGUACAGCUUAAAUAGUUAGAAAUGAGAUUAGCACUUAGUUUUGGAAACAUCUUGGUUUUCAUUGCGAUAUUCUCUGAAUUGCUUCAAGAUUAUCAAAUUGAAUGCCGACGUGGGCGGUUCAAAGUGAGAAGUGGAGGGGGGUCAAGUGCCUCUGAUGGUACAUGGUGGAUAUACUUGGUCGCUAUUUUUGGAGUAGUCAUCUUUUUGAGCGCCGUCUGGUAUAUUUGCAAAAAGUGCCGAUAGCUGUACAUGUGUCUCAUUGAAUCCAUGAAUAAAUCCAUACUUUCCUGUGCCAAAACGAUCGAACUGGUUGAACAGUAGUGCGGUGGAACUGGAGGAUUUCGUUUUCAAAAAUUUAUACAGUUUCAAACAUUUAUUUAGUAGCAUUCUAGUUCUAUCUAAAGGUGUAAUUAAACAUUUCUUUACUUUUUGUUAAUGAGUACUUGCUUACAAAAGUUAAUCAAAGCGUUUGUUAACUGUAUGCCUACUCUGAAUAAAUUAGAUCUU